ACAUCGUCAUUGUAAACUCGACCGUUCUCGGCCAUCCAUUCUUCAAACCGCUUCAUCAUGGGAUCACUGGGUUGGCCGCGAGAAGCUGCCGAUGGCGAAGCCCACAUCAAACAAACCAUCAGGUGAAAAACCAGUAGGUGAAACUUAAAAGCCAUAGCACUAAAUAGCAGCAAUACUUUGGAAUGGAAACUACAAGAGUUUUCGUUGGUGAGGAUGAGGUCCUCGCAUAGAGUUUUUAUAGAAGUACGUGGCUACUUGUUGGAGCAUUAUGAAUACAGAUCGAUGCUGGGGAAAAUAAUUCGAGGAAAAUAAUCGAAGGGGCUGUAGUUGAGGGAUCCAAAGCUGGGUUGAUCCAAAUCCUUUUAUAAUAUCAUAAUUUUACGUAUAUGCCAUUAUUAGUGCACAACCGACCGAACGGGUUGGUGAGUUACCAAAUUAAAGAAAAGUAGAAUCUGUUCAAAUUAUUUCAGGACCGUUCCCAUUAUUCAGCGUACGUAACUAAUUAUAUAUGUGGUAUGCUCACAAGUGAUUGAAAUUAUUAAGCAAACAAUGUAUUGAGAACCCCUCAUACAUGAAUUAUGAGAUAGUGUGUUGGAUUAAUAAAGUAAAUUUUGGACGAACCCUGAAUUUUAGCUUGCGUACGUAGUUUCUACUUAUAGCCUUCUGUGUGUGUGUGUUAAUAUCUAACGUGAGUUAGACCAGAAAUAGAUAAAAAUUAUAGGACUCAGAAGACAAAACCUUCCACUAGGCUUUUCUAGUAUACCAAAGGAACGAAUUAAAUGAUCUCUUAUAUAGCAACAUAAUUAAACUUCUCCUAAUAGUCCAUAUUUUUAUGGGUAAAAUUAUAUUGUUACCUCCUGAACUUUUAGCAAAGUUUUCACUUUAUCCCUCGAACUUCUAAAAUGGACAUCUAAUACUCUAAAUUCCAAUAUUUUGUUCAUGUUACUCUUUCCGUUAGUUUUUUCAUCAAGCUCCGUUAACCGGAAACUGACGGAAGGGAUAAAACGAAUAAAAUAUUAGAGUUUAGGGUAUUAGAUGUUUAUUUUAGAAGUUUGGAGGGUUAAGUAAAACUCGCCAAAAGUUCAGGAAAUAGCAGUGCAAUUUCACAUAUGAAAAAUUAAGGACCUAUUUAGCUCCUUAAAAAAUAGUAGAAAACUAUUUUUUGCGGAAAAUUUUUUUGUGAAAAAAGAGAAUUUUAAAUUUUUAUUGUUUGCUUCGACAAAAAAAAAAAAAAAAAGUUUUUCAUUCAUGCAUGUUUGGUGACAAGAAACAAAUGACGAGAGAGUGAGUGAGUAAUAGCUUGCCAGCGCGAUGCAGCAUAGCGUACGCAGCAGCCGUAACUUUCACGCGUGAUGGGGCAGUAGUUUGUGGACGCGACAUAGCCAUAAGGCAAUGGUGGCGCGGGCAAGAUGCAGUCGGAUUGGUGGCAACGAUAGCAGCAGAAUGCCGAUGUAGACGGAUAGGGAGAGAGAGAUGGUAGACACCGCCCGUUGCAAUUACGAGAUAAUGGGUAGAAAGUAAAGAAAGAUUCUUUUUUUUUAUAUGAGUGUAGCUAUCAUACAUUUAUGAAUAUAAACUCUUUUAUAUUUAUAAGCUUUUUACCAUUAAAUCUAUUUCUUAAUUAUUUUCACUCGUUAGAUCAUACUAUUUAAUUAAUCACUCAUUCAACUUUAGGAGGCCACCAUCAUUUCUAACCGCACAAUCAUUUAUCAACCGGUAAAAAAUUUAGAAAUACAAAGAAAUCUAUACUUAUAAGAGUAUAAUAGUACUAAUCCUUUAUAUAUAGGGUUAAUUUUAUACAGAUCCCUACAAAUAUAGUGAAUAACAAAUAUAUUCCUACAAAGUUCAAUUUUCAUAUGUUGUCCCUACACCGACCGUCCUUAGAGCAAGUGGCAAAGGGUUUGGUGGUUGGUGCUCGAGACCCAAAUUCGAAUCCUUGAUUCAGAUUUCCAACUAAGUUUAUUUCUAAAUAAAAUAAACGAAGCGGGUAACAUAUGUUGUCCCUACAAAUGUUCUGAUAUUUUCAAAUAUAUUCCUCUGAUUUAUUGCUUUUAGAAAACUGUUUAUAUUUUCAAUUUUGCCAUCACAAAUAUAUCCCUUCAAAAACUAUAACAAAAUAAUAUAAAAGGGUAAAAAUAUUAAAAGCUAGUUAGAGUUAAAUAUUUAAUCUAUGGUUAACUAAAAUUUUCUAACGAAUUCUACUGGUAGGGACAUAUUUAAAAAUAUCAUGAUUUUGUAGGGACAAUAUAUGAAAAUUAAACUUUAUAGAAGUAUAUUUACCAUUCAUUAUGUUUGUAGGAAUCUGUAUGAAAUUAACAAUAUAUAUAUAGGACGGGUUCGGAUUCGGGUCGAGUAUAGUCAAAAUCCAUAUCCGAAUUCAUAUCAAUUUUCCAUCAAGCUUCGUUAAUCGGAAACUGACAGAAAGAAUAAAACGAAUGAAAUAUUAGAGUUUAGAGUGUUAGAUAUAUAUCUAUUUUAGGAGUUUGCAAGGUUAAGUGAAACUUGCCAAAAGUUCAGAAAGUAGCAGUGCAAUUUACCCCGUAGAACUCUUGACUAUAAAUUAUUUUAUUAUAAUAUGUUACUUAUAAAUUGACUAUUAACCCUCAACUUAGUGAUCAUGCUUGAUUUUGAAUUUAUAUAUAUUUUUUAUCCUAAAAUAAAUUAUACCAUAAUUUAUCCUACAUUUUAUUGUAGUAAAAUAAAAACGAAAAAAAUGAAUUAGAGUGGCUUAAAAAUAAGAAAAGUGCGAUACUAAUUACCUACGAUACUCGAACACUCUACUAUCCUUAUUUACUCGCUAAUAUGGUUGAUUUACAAUAGGUGUACUCACUCAGAUAUAGAUAUUUUAAUUCUUAGUUAAUUUUCUAUACUACUCGUUUGUCCUUUUUAUCUUUAGAAGUAUUGUUAUAAAAAAUGCAUUUAUUUUCUGUAAAAUUAUGCAAUGUAACUUUAUUGUAGUCUAAAAUAAAAUUUGUGUACUUCAUUUCAGCCAAUUAAAAAUUUUUAAUAUAAAAAUAUAAAAUAAUAUUUUAUAAUACUUUAGAACAAUGUUUCUAAAGUAUGAUAAAUUAUGAUAUGAUUUAUUUUAGUAUAAAAUAUAUAUAUAUAUAUAUAUAUAUAUAUUCAAAAUCAAGUAUGAUCACUAACUUGAAAUUUAGUAGUAAAUCCAUAAGUAACAUAUUAUAAUAAAAUAAUUUAUAGUUGGGGUAAAUUGCAUUGUUACCUCCUGAAUUUUUGGCGAGUUUCACUUAACCCCCCAAACAUCUAAAAUAGACAUCUAACACCCUAAACUCUAAUAUUUCAUUCGCUUUACCCCUUCUGUCAGUUUCCGGUUAACAGAACUUGACGGAAAACUGACGGAAGUGGUAACAUGAACAAAAUAUUAGAAUUUAGGGUGUUAGAUCUCCAUUUUAGGAGUUCAAAGGGUAAAGUAAAAUUUCGUCAAAAGUUCAGGGGAUAACAAUAUAAUUUACCCAUAUUUUUAUCGUGUUGGAACCCAAUUAAGUAAUUUACAACCUCAUCCUACAAAAUGAGAUAUAAAUAGUUUACAGUAAGUAAACGGCACACUUCAAUUUUUACUUGAUAUUCGUGUCAAAUUAAGCUGAAUACACUCAGACAAAGUACAAACAGUGGGAUAAUUAAUAAUACAUAUUCAAACUUGGAAUACAAAGCAAGUAACGAGCGAGGGAGAGAACCACACAACAGCCCUUUUUGUGACUUAAUUACAACCUUAUACAGGAGCAAACAAGCACUUAAUUGAUUAGAUAGAGCUUGUUAUGCCCUCAGAUCCCGUGUCAGAGAGUUCGGGAUGAGGCAUUGAUGUGAGAGUUGGGUAGAGAGCGUACAAGGCAAUGCCACAUACUCCACUGUAUGAUCCGGUUUCUCUCGCCAGCCUCAUGUACCCAGCUUCGCCCCAGUUUUGGCCCCAUGAAUUCUUUAUAAGCCAGUAUUUUUCUCCCGUAUAAGAGUCUGCUCCGUAUCCUAUAAUUGUGAUGGCAUGGUUAAGUUUAGCUGCACAAGGUCCUCUGUAGAUACCGCCGCGGUACAACUGGAAGUUUUUACCGGCAGCGACUGCAGCGGCUACCGGUUGCUGCGCCACAGCAUACAUGAUGCUGCGCUCGUUCUUAGGAAGAAAUUUAUAACCAGUAAUGUAAGCUUCGUUGGGCACGAUACUGGCGUCGUAGCAUUGGCCUUUAGCUCCAUUGUAAGGAUAGGAUUGCUCGGAUGUCACACCUCUAUUCGCUAUGAUGAAAUCGUAUCCUUUUUCCACCCAGCCACCGAGUUGGCACCCGUAGCUGUAACUGCAAUCUAGAAUUUGUUGUUCUGACACAUCUGGCAUUAUUCCUUUCUUGAUUUUGUAGAUCCCUUCCACCGUCGCAGCUGCGACGAACGCCCAACAAGAACCUAUAUAUAUAUCAAAAGAGAGAUUCAUAUUAGCUUCUACAGGAGAAAUUUGUGGAUUGUAUACAACCAGAAAACAUUCGAAAACAUUCGAACAAUUGAAUGUUUAUAUAUAGAUUUUUCCAGAAAAAAAAAAAAAAAAUCUCAGGCGGUAUUCCAAGCUCUGUGUUUCUUUUAACUUCUUUUCACUAGCUAGCGUGUCAUUCCGCGUCCGAGUCAAGUUCUUAUUUGUUUUACUGAUAGAAGGUUAAACUACUGGAGCACCAUUUUUGACUAAAUAUCAUUUCAUCUCACAUCUUAUUUGAAGAUUUGUAGUAGGUGAUACUCAUGCUGAUGCAUUUUUUAUUGGUUUAGGGCCUGAACUUUGAAUUUUAAAAUAGGGAAAAUAUGGCUAUUUUUAUCAAAAAUAAUUAGUAGAUAAUUAACUGGGUGUUUCACAAAAUUGAAGUGAUUUCAUAUACUAUACUACUGAAAAUUUCUUACUGCAUGUGCCCUGUUGCUUGAUUUCUGUUACAGCACGAUAAUCCCUCCAAUCAAUACUUUGAGGCACUGAAGGCAUGUUUACAUUCUCGAACGGCAUCAACGGCUCCGACGUCCGAUUUGCAGGGACAGAUAAACCAGUGUAUUGAGCCAAAAAUUCGUCGGUCGUCAUAUCAGCAAACUGGUUGACACCGAGAGUGUACGAGUUUCCGCUGCGGUUAUUGAAGGUUUCAACGUAGUUCACAUUGUCUUGAAAUAUCCGAAACCGGUGCAGCUUCUCGACAUCGUCAUUGUAAACUCGACCGUACUCGGCCAUCCAUUCUUCAAACCGCUUCAUCAUGGGAUCACUGGGUUCGCCGCGAGAAGCCGCCAAUGGCGAGGCCCACAUCAAACAAACAAUCAGGUGAAAAACCAGUAGGCGAAACUUAAAAGCCAUAGCACUAAAUAGCAGCAAUACUUUGGAAUGGAAACUACAAGAGUUUUCGUUGGU
rnacentral:lncRNA from 1 species